GCCUGGUAUGGUAGCCUAGUGGACAUGGCAUCUGCCCGGUAAGCGGAAGGUUGUGGGUUCGAUUCCCGCCCCUGGACA